rnacentral:lncRNA from 1 species
GUUAGAAAGGAAUGAGAUGUAUUUUUUCUAUAUUUCUAUAACCUUUGCCAUUUCAUUGAACACAUUGUACAUUGGACAUAAUAUUAGUAACAUAUUCUUGAGAACUUUUAUUUUGGAAUGAUGCUAACUCUGUCUCUUGCCAAUUCUAAUACCAGGUUCCAAGUAAUAACUCUACAAUACAAAGAGAAUUGAUUAUCUAUUUUAGGGCUAGGCUGUGAACUUCACAACUCAUUUGAGUACCUAUGCUCAUUGAAUUUCCUUGAAAAUAAUUUGUCCCUGGUGCCCAGUGAUAAUUCAUUUGGGACCUUCAUGAGUAAAAGGAAAGAAAAGUGUAGUGAAAUGCUAAGGAUCAGCAAAAUGAACAAAAGGAGAGUUUGAUCCUGGAAAGAAAAAGAGACCUGGUUUGAUUAAGUUAUACUGACUAAGCAGUCCACUCAUCUUUCUAUUUUGGGAGAGAUGUGAGGGCAUCUGAAGAAGACCAUGGAUGGACUAGGAGAACCAUAUUUUUGGGCUAAGGGUAGGAAGCAGAAAGGCAAAAUGAAGAGGAAAAUCAUAAGAAAUUUGACUGAAGCAAAGAAAAAAAGCAAAUUCCCAAAUGUGCUAAUCUUUGAAAGUUAUAGUCUUUCCCAAACUAUGGAAGUUACCAGGAAGUGAUCAGGAAGACUAGGAGCUAUUAUUGACUACAAAUGAAUCAUAUAAUGGCUCUGUUGCAGUUGUGUGACUUCCAAACCAGGAAUUAAACAUUGUUUUUAAGAAAAAAAAAAACAUUUCCUAUGUUAGUCUCUCAGCAAAAUGUACAUGUUUUGGAGACUUCAAAGUUAUUAUAUGAGUUCACAUUUAGUAACAGCUUAUUAAUAACCCUCAAGCUGUCAGAAUCUCUAUAGUUACCAUUUACAAUUUUAUACUGUGAAAAAAAUACAGAUCAGUGAAAGCAUAAAGAUAAAUCAGAAUUUCCUUUGAAGAGGGUCUGAGGCCUGGGAGAAUCUCUACUGUUUAUUGAAAAAUGAGGCAUGUGUAAAAUAGUUGGCUAAAUUUCACUGAUCUUCCCAAUGUGAACAAAUAUACUAUGUAUAUUGUGUGUAUUUCUAGAAUUCAAUGGCAGCUGCUGGUGGUGUUGUAAUUAGAAAUCUAUAUAGAAUAUAGAUGUUUUAGAAAGAUGGUGCCAAUUCCAAAACAUUUGUGUGGACUACAAGUGCUUGUACUUACUUUUUUCUGCACUUAUAACUGAUUUGGUUUUAAAAUUGUGUGCGCGUAUUUGUUCCUUUUCUGUUGUUACAGCUUGUACUAUUAAAAUAAUGGAGAAUGUUAAAUUAUUUUGAUGUGAAUUGCAAAUGAUUUUUCAUAAAGUAUACCAUUUUUAUCAGCAUUGUUUUGCUUUGUACUUGUAUAAAUGUGUUUAUUUUAGCAUUUUAAUAUACACUUGCCUGUUUCUCAGUUGUCUAAAUUAUGUUUUAGGUGGUGUUUGUGAAGUCAGUUACUUUUUGAAAAAUAUUAAAAAAA